rnacentral:rRNA from 1 species
UACGGAGGGUGCAAGCGUUUGUUCGGAUUUAUUGGGCGUAAAGCGCGUGCAGGCGGUCUCUUAAGUCUGAUGUGAAAGCCCUGGGCUCAACCCAGGAAGUGCAUUGGAUACUGGGAGACUUGAAUACGGGAGAGGGUAGUGGAAUUCCUAGUGUAGGAGUGAAAUCCGUAGAUAUUAGGAGGAACACCGGUGGCGAAGGCGGCUACCUGGACCGAUAUUGACGUGGAGAACGCGAAAAGCCUGGGGGAGCAAACAGG